AGUGAACGCUGGCGGUAGGUCUAACACAUGCAAGUCGAACGGCAGCACAGUAAGAGCUUGCUCUUACGGGUGGCGAGUGGCGGACGGGUGAGGAAUACAUCGGAAUCUACUUUUUCGUGGGGGAUAACGUAGGGAAACUUACGCUAAUACCGCAUACGACCUACGGGUGAAAGCAGGGGAUCUUCGGACCUUGCGCGAUUGAAUGAGCCGAUGUCGGAUUAGCUAGUUGGCGGGGUAAAGGCCCACCAAGGCGACGAUCCGUAGCUGGUCUGAGAGGAUGGUCAGCCACACUGGAACUGAGACACGGUCCAGACUCCUACGGGAGGCAGCAGUGGGGAAUAUUGGACAAUGGGCGCAAGCCUGAUCCAGCCAUACCGCGUGGGUGAAGAAGGCCUUCGGGUUGUAAAGCCCUUUUGUUGGGAAAGAAAAGCAGCAGGUUAAUACCCCGCUGUUCUGACGGUACCCAAAGAAUAAGCACCGGCUAACUUCGUG
rnacentral:rRNA from 1 species